rnacentral:rRNA from 1 species
AGGACGAACGGCUGGCGGCGUGCCUAAUACAUGCAAGUCGAACGGUCUUUCUAUGGAAGCUUGCUUCCACUGAGAAGAUAGUGGCGAACGGGUGAGUAACACGUGGGUAACCUGCCCAUAAGAGGGGGAUAACAUCCGGAAACGGGUGCUAAUACCGCAUAGUUUUCUUGAUCGCAUGAUUGAGAAAGGAAAGACGGCCUUUGUGCUGUCGCUUAUGGAUGGACCCGCGGCGUAUUAGUUAGUUGGUGAGGUAACGGCUCACCAAGACGAUGAUACGUAGCCGACCUGAGAGGGUGAUCGGCCACAUUGGGACUGAGACACGGCCCAAACUCCUACGGGAGGCAGCAGUAGGGAAUCUUCCGCAAUGGACGAAAGUCUGACGGAGCAACGCCGCGUGAGUGAAGAAAGGUUUUCGGAUCGUAAAACUCUGUUGUCAGAGAAGAACAAGUUGGAGAGUAACUGCUCCAGCCUUGACGGUAUCUGACCAGAAAGCCACGGCUAACUACGUGCCAGCAGCCGC